AUUGAACGCUGGCGGCAGGCCUAACACAUGCAAGUCGAACGAGUGGCGGACGGGUGAGUAAUGUCUGGGAAACUGCCCGAUGGAGGGGGAUCACUACUGGAAACGGUAGCUAAUACCGCAUACCAUCGGAUGUGCCCAGAGGGGAUUAGCUUGUAGGUGAGGUAACGGCUCACCUAGGCGACGAUCCCUAGCUGGUCUGAGAGGAUGGCCAGACACAGUGGUACUGAGACACGGUGCACGCGCGUCGGUGAGGCAGAAGUGGGGAAUAUUGCACAAUGGGCGCACGCCUAAGGCAGCCAGACCGCGUGUAGGAAGAAGGCCUUCGGGUUGUAGAGUACUUGCAGCUUGGAGUCGUUGCCCGCAGAAGAAGCACCGGCUAACUCCGGGCCAGCAGCCGCGGUAAUUC
rnacentral:rRNA from 1 species